rnacentral:piRNA from 1 species
UCAAACCAUCUUAAUGACCUCAUCUCACAA